ACGGAGGGAGCAAGCGUUGUCCGGAAUAACUGGGCGUAAAGGGCUCGUAGGCGGGGUUUUAAGUCCGGGAGUAAAUUCAUUGGCUUAACUGAUGAGUCAUCCUGGAUACUGGAACUCUUGAGGACGGAAGAGGAAAGGGGAAUUCCUGGUGUAGCGGUGAAAUGCGUAGAUAUCAGGAGGAACACCUGUGGCGAAGGCGCCUUUCUGGUCCGGUUCUGACGCUGAGGAGCGAAAGCCAGGGGAGCGAACGG
rnacentral:rRNA from 1 species